AUUGAACGCUGGCGGCAGGCCUAACACAUGCAAGUCGAGCGAGCGGCGGACGGGUGAGUAAUGUCUGGGAACCUGCCUGAUGGAGGGGGAUAACUACUGGAAACGGUAGCUAAUACCGCAUACCAUCAGAUGUGCCCAGAGGGGAGUAGCUGGUAGGUGGGGUAACGGCUCACCUAGGCGACGAUCCCUAGCUGGUCUGAGAGGAUGCCCAGACACACUGGAACUGAGACACGGCCCAGACUCCUACGGGAGGCAGCAGUGGGGAAUAUUGAACAAUGGGCGAAAGCCUGAUGGAGCAAUGCCGCGUGUGUGAAGAAGGCCUUCGGGUUGUAAAGCCCUUUCAGCGGGGAGGCGUUACCCGCAGAAGAAGCACCGGCUAACUCCGUGCCAGCAGCCGCGGUAAUUC
rnacentral:rRNA from 1 species